UGCAGUCGAGCGGUAGCACAGAGAGCUUGCUCUCGGGUGACGAGUGGCGGACGGGUGAGUAAUGUCUGGGAAACUGCCUGAUGGAGGGGGAUAACUACUGGAAACGGUAGCUAAUACCGCAUAACGUCUCAAGACCAAAGAGGGGGACCUUCGGGCCUCUUGCCAUCAGAUGUGCCCAGAUGGGAUUAGCUAGUAGGUGGGGUAACGGCUCACCUAGGCGACGAUCCCUAGCUGGUCUGAGAGGAUGACCAGCCACACUGGAACUGAGACACGGUCCAGACUCCUACGGGAGGCAGCAGUGGGGAAUAUUGCACAAUGGGCGCAAGCCUGAUGCAGCCAUGCCGCGUGUAUGAAGAAGGCCUUCGGGUUGUAAAGUACUUUCAGCGGGGAGGAAGGUGUUGUGGUUAAUAACCGCAGCAAUUGACGUUACCCGCAGAAGAAGCACCGGCUAACUCCGUGCCAGCAGCCGCGGUAAUACGGAGGGUGCAAGCGUUAAUCGGAAUUACUGGGCGUAAAGCGCACGCAGGCGGUCUGUCAAGUCGGAUGUGAAAUCCCCGGGCUCAACCUGGGAACUGCAUUCGAAACUGGCAGGCUGGAGUCUUGUAGAGGGGGGUAGAAUUCCAGGUGUAGCGGUGAAAUGCGUAGAGAUCUGGAGGAAUACCGGUGGCGAAGGCGGCCCCCUGGACAAAGACUGACGCUCAGGUGCGAAAGCGUGGGGGAGCAAACAGGAUUAGAUACCCUGGUAGUCCACGCCGUAAACGAUGUCGAUUUGGAGGUUGUGCCCUUGAGGCGU
rnacentral:rRNA from 1 species